UAUCUGGUUGAUCCUGCCAGUAGUCAUAUGCUUGUCUCAAAGAUUAAGCCAUGCAUGUCUAAGUACAAACCUUAAUACGGUGAAACCGCGAAUGGCUCAUUAAAUCAGCUAUGGUUCCUUAGAUCGUCUCAUCCUACUCGAUAACUGUGGAAAAUCUAGAGCUAAUACGUGCUUACAAGCCCUGACCUCACGGGAGGGGCGCAUUUAUUAGAUCAAAACCAAUCGGGCUUGCCCCGUCUGCUUGGUGACUCUGGAUAACUUUUGUGCUGAUCGCAUGGCCUCUGCGCUGGCGACGUAUCUUUCAAGUGUCUGCCCUAUCAACUUACGAUGGUAGGU
rnacentral:ncRNA from 1 species